GCGUUAAGUCGACCGCCUGGGGAGUACGGCCGCAAGGUUAAAACUCAAAUGAAUUGACGGGGGCCCGCACAAGCGGUGGAGCAUGUGGUUUAAUUCGAUGCAACGCGAAGAACCUUACCUGGUCUUGACNUCCACGGAAGUUUUCNNAGAUGANAAUGUGCCUUCGGGAACCGNGANACAGGNGCUGCNUGGNUGUCGUCAGCUCGUGUUGUGAAAUGUUGGGUUAAGUCCCGCAACGAGCGCAACCCUUAUCCUUUGUUGCCAGCGGUCCGGCCGGGAACUCAAAGGAGACUGCCAGUGAUAAACUGGAGGAAGGUGGGGAUGACGUCAAGUCAUCAUGGCCCUUACGACCAGGGCUACACACGUGCUACAAUGGCGCAUACAAAGAGAAGCGACCUCGCGAGAGCAAGCGGACCUCAUAAAGUGCGUCGUAGUCCGGAUUGGAGUCUGCAACUCGACUCCAUGAAGUCGGAAUCGCUAGUAAUCGUGGAUCAGAAUGCCACGGUGAAUACGUUCCCGGGCCUUGUACACACCGCCCGUCACACCAUGGGAGUGGGUUGCAAAAGAAGUAGGUAGCUUAACCUUCGGGAGGGCGCUACC
rnacentral:rRNA from 1 species